GGAAAGGACUGUAGCUCAGUGGAGGAGCAUUUGCUCUGCGUGCAGAAAGCCCCAGAUUCAAUCCUUGGCAUCUCCA